CAGGUUCUAAUAUGCCAUCAAUAUCCAUCCCAAAUUUAUCAAAAUCUAACCUUACAUUAUGAACAUUUUCCAGAGACCUCCAAGUGAAAGUUUUAUUGGGAUGUCAGUAUGUUACUUGAUUCACCAUGAAUCGCAGCCACCCUUCCCCCAGUCUUUCAGGUUCUUUACUGAAGCGAAACUGCUAACGUGCAAGCAAUGCCGAGUUUGCAACCUUUAAAGAACCAAUACCAAGUUCCCGAAACAGUGAGAAAUAUUAUGAUGGAAUACUAGAGAAAAAAGAUUAAAUGAAAGUAACUCUUCCGCCAAUUGAUAAAAAUUUUGAUUUCCAAGAAGACAGACGUUUAUUGAAAACAUCCAUCACUGGUUCAUUGACAGAAACGUUUCAUACUAACAUCGAGUGGAAAGCCAAGAUAAUCUAAAGGAAAAGACCCAGCUUGAAGUGAAAUUGCUCAGCCACCUAAGUUAUUGUUUCAUUUUGAACACCAAAGCCGAUGAUAGUUGAUUUAUUUACAUUCAUUUUUAACCCAUAAAUGAUGUUGAAACAUCUCAUGAUUCGAACGAUAUUCAACAGAUUCAAAUUA